rnacentral:rRNA from 1 species
AUGAGGAACUUGAAAAACGAGAAAACAAAAAUUUAUCCCUCAACUACGAGGGGAGGUAAGGAAUUGCCAUCUAACUCUGCACUUGAUUCACCUUCUGUUUUGAAUAAGCUUGUGACACCUAAAUCUGCUUCUGCUAUUAAUUCUGAUAUGUCGCAUGUUAUUGAUAAUGCCACUUCUGCUAUGCAUGAUACUUAUGAUGAAACUACUUCUAUGCUUAUACUACUGUGCCACUUGGUAAAUUUCUUGAUGAACAACUUGCUAGGGCUAGAGAGAAUGAAAUUAUUGAAACUGAUAAUAUUGAUGAAAGUGAUGAUGAAGACUCUCCCAAUAAAUAUGAAUUGCCUGUUGUGCCUGAGGGCUAUGUUAUGGAUGAAGAAACUGCUAGAGACUUUCUUGCUUGCAAUGAUAGAAGUGAUCUUUAGAAAUUAUUAG